GAUGAACGCUGGCGGCGUGCCUAAUACAUGCAAGUCGAGCGAACGGACGAGAAGCUUGCUUUUCUGAUGUUAGCGGCGGACGGGUGAGUAACACGUGGAUAACCUACCUAUAAGACUGGGAUAACUUCGGGAAACCGGAGCUAAUACCGGAUAAUAUUUUGAACCGCAUGGUUCAAAAGUGAAAGACGGUCUUGCUGUCACUUAUAGAUGGAUCCGCGCUGCAUUAGCUAGUUGGUAAGGUAACGGCUUACCAAGGCAACGAGGCAUAGCCGACCUGAGAGGGUGAUCGGCCACAUUGGAACUGAGACACGGUCCAGACUCCUACGGGAGGCAGCAGUAGGGAAUCUCCCGCAAUGGGCGAAAGCCUGACGGAGCAACGCCGCGUGAGUGAUGAAGGUCUUCGGAUCGUAAAACUCUGUUAUUAGGGAAGAACAUAUGUGUAAGUAACUGUGCACAUCUUGACGGUACCUAAUCAGAAAGCCACGGCUAACUACGUG
rnacentral:rRNA from 1 species